rnacentral:rRNA from 1 species
CUCAAAGAUUAAGCCAUGCAAUUGCAAGUAUGAACAACUCGUAUUUGUUAAACUGAGAACAGCUUAUUAAAAAAGUUAUAAUUUAUUUGAACGUGGAACCUUAAAACAGGUUCAUUAAAAUCUAUUUAAGUGGAAUAAUUGUGGGAAAGCUAGAAAUAAUACAUGCAAAAAGGGGUAACUAAAGUAAUUUGGGAACCUUGCAUUAUCUGGCAUUUAUCAUUAAAAAAGGAAGUACAACUUCUUUAUAUGAUGAAACACAGAUCACUAAAUAGCAAAGUGUGAUUUCAAAACACUGCUUCAUUCAAAUUUCUUAUCUAUCAACUUUCGAUGAUUGUAUAGAGGACAAUCAUGGUUUUAACGGGUAACAGAGAAUAAGGGUUUUAUUCUGGAGAGGGAGCCUAGAGAAAUUGCUACCACUUCCAAGGAAGGCAGCAGGCGCGAAAAUUACCCAAUAAAAAUACUUUGAGGUAGUAACAAAAAAUAACGACAACGUAUACAUUUGAAUAACAUAAAAAAUUAUUUAAAUGUUGUUGAUUGUAAUGAGUACAAUUUAAAAAAAUUAAUUAGAAUCAAUUAGAGGGCAAGUCUGGUGCCAGCAGCCGCGGUAAUUCCAGCUCUAAUAGCGUAUAUUUAAGUUGUUGUAUUUAAAAAGCUCGUAGUUGAAACUUGAAAAACAAUUUAAAAAAUGAAAUAAACCUAUAAAUAGAAAAAUCUAUUUAUAAUUAUUUCAUGUUUUUCAUAUCAUGAACAAUAGUUUAAUUCAUAAUUUUAAUUGAAAGAUUAAAUCAUUGUGGGUGUUAUAAAGAUUAUUGUUUCAUUUUACCAUAAGUAAAAUAGAGUGUUUAAAGCAAGACGAUUGUCUAUUGAAUAAUAGAGUAUGGGAUAAUAAAAGAUGAAAGAGAGGAGAUGUACUUCUCUGAAGGUAAAAGUUAAAUUUUAUUUCCAGGUCUUCCCACUUUAAUGAUUAAUAGGGACUAUUGGGGCAAUUAAUAUUUCUACACGAGCGGUGAAAUGUUUAGACUGUAGAAAGAUUAACUAAUGCGAAAGCAUUUUGCAAAGGUGUUUUCAUUAAUCAAGAACGAAAGUUAAGGGAUUGAAGAUGAUCAGAUACCGUCGUAAUCUUAACCAUAAACAAUGUAGACAAAAGAUGGGAUUGAUUAUAUAAAUAUAUAGUCUUUCUUAAUAAAAAAGGUACUUAAAUGAAAGGAAAAGGAAAGGUUUACUUUUCUAUUUUCUUUCUGUAACUGUCUCUUCCCGAAUUUCGUAAGAAAUUAAGAGUGAUCGGACUUUGGGGGGAGUAUGGUCGCAAGGCUGAAACUUAAAGGAAUUGACGGAAGAGCMCCACAAGGUUGUGGAACUUGCGGUUUAAUUUGACUCAACACGGGAAAACUCACCAGGUCAGGACAUAAUAAGGAUUGACAGAUUAAUAGAUCUUUCAAAAAAAAAAAUUAUUAUUGUAGCAAUAUAAUAGUAAUAUAAAUUGAUUUUAUGAUAAGUGGUGCAUGGCCGAUCUUAGUUCGUGGAAUGAUUUGUCUGCUUAAUUGCGUUAACGAACGAGACCUUUAGAGAUAAAUAGUGAUAGAUGGAGGGUGUUAAAGCAAGUGGAAUGUCUUUAGGAGAAGGGCAUGUUCCCCUUUUAAAUGUCAUCGUUUCAUUUGUAUUCUUCAUUUUUAUAAAUUAAAAAAAUAUAUAGGGUAAGUGUCAAAAGUUUAUCAAAUAUAAACUUCUUAUUUCGACUAUUGGUGAUAAACUAAUGUAAGUUAAAGGUAAUAUCAGGUCUGUGAUGCCCUUAGAUGUUCUGGGCCACACGCGUGUUACAAUGGUAAAGAUUAAAGGGUAAACAAUAAUAAUGAAGUGGCUCUUAAUAAAGUUAUUUCUAUUUUUCCGCUUAAUAGAAAUAUUUGGCAAAUCCUUUAUCGAAUCUUUUUUACCAUAUCUGGGAUAGAUGCUUGUAAUUUUUCAUCUUCAACUUGGAAUACCUAGUAAACAUAAUUCAACAAAUUAUGUUGAUUACGUCCCUGCUCUUUGUACACACCGCCCGUCGCUCCUACCGAUUGAAUUAUCCGAUGAGUUGUAAGGAAAGACUAUUUUGUAAAAGAAAUAGACUUAAAUUACAACAAAUCUUAUAAUUUAGAGGAAGGAGAAGUCGUAACAAGGUAAUCGUAGGUGAACCUGCAGAAGGAUCA